rnacentral:rRNA from 1 species
UUUUAUGUGGAGUUAAAAUUUAAAAGAUUUAAAAUAAAUAAAAUUAGUAAUUACCUUUUGUAUCAUGAUUAAAUAAUUAUAAUAUUAUAAAAUAUUUCUCGAAAUAUUGUGAUUUUUUAAUUUUAACAUUCUUGGGUAAAGUAGUUUAAAUCAUUAAAAGAGGUGAUAUGUUAGUCGAACAAUAUUAUUACUAGGUAGUUAGGUUGAAAAAUAAUUAUUAUGUCGGCUUAGAGGUUGUCAUAAUUUUAAAAUCUUGUUUAUAUUAAAAAAAUAGGGUAUAAAAGUCACUGUAAUUAAAGUGUGUUAUAACAUUUUUAAUAAUUUUAUAAGAUUUUGUAAAACUAGCUAUAUCAAUUAAAUUUAAUAUUAUUAUGUUUAAAUUAGUAGAAAAUUUUAAGUGUAAAUAUCUCAAAUUAAAUCGAAAUGUUUAUUAAAAACAUUGUUAUAAAAAAUUUUUUAUGAUAUUACCUGCUCAGUGUUAGUUUAAUAAAUAGCCGCAGUAUCUUGACUGUGCUAAGGUAGCAUAAUUGCUUGUCUCUUAAAUAGAGAAUUGUUUGAAUGGUUUAUUUGAUUUAAUAAUUGAUUUAUAUUAAUUAUUUGAAUUUAGUUUUUGAGUCAAGAAUCUCAAAAUAUAAUAUAAGACGGAAAGACCCCGAGAACUAAAGAUUAAGGAUGUUGUUUGGGGCAAAAUUUUAUUUUUAUAAAAAUUAUGAACCAAAAAUGUUUUGUAUAGUGAGGUAGUUACCUCGGGGAUAACAGGGUAAGAAGCAAAAAGAGUACACAUCGAUUUGUUUAGUUGCUACCUCGAUUUUGACUUAAAAUUAUUAUUCGGCGUAGGAGCUAAAGUAAAUAGGCCUGUUCGGCCUUUAAAAUUUUUCAUGAGUUGAGUUAAGACCGGCGUAAGCCAGGUUGGUUCUUAUCUAUAUUAGAUUCUCUAUAGUACGAAAGGAUUUAGGGAAUUUUUAUUAAUUGUUUCGACAAUUUAAA